CAAAAUAUACAUCAAAUGAUUGUCAGUAAUGUUAUAACCCGCAUAUAUCCUCUACUGAACUACUAUAUCCAUCAAACUCGUAUAUUCCCUUAAAUCCAAAUAAUAGCAUUGCGAAUAGUCACUCUUUGUAGCACUAUAUGUAAUCCUUUACUCUACCAAAGUUCGCUCUCCGGCUUUUUCGUAACGGUAUUCCCGGCCUUUAUAUACCAAUCCUCGUCGGAUCCAUGGACGGAUCUCCUGACGGAUCUCCCGACGGAUCUCUUGGGCUCCGACUGGAUGUUCAAUAAAAGAAAAUACGCAACAAUACCCCUUUCCAGGAC
rnacentral:lncRNA from 1 species